rnacentral:rRNA from 1 species
UACGUAGGGUGCAAGCGUUGUCCGGAAUUAUUGGGCGUAAAGAGCUCGUAGGCGGUUUGUCGCGUCGAAUGUGAAAACCCGGGGCUCAACCCCGGGCCUGCAUUCGAUACGGGCAGACUAGAGUUCGGUAGGGGAGUCUGGAAUUCCUGGUGUAGCGGUGAAAUGCGCAGAUAUCAGGAGGAACACCGGUGGCGAAGGCGGAUCUCUGGGCCUGUCCUGACGCUGAGGCGCGAAAGCUAGGGGAGCGAACAGG